rnacentral:rRNA from 1 species
UACAGAGGUUUCAAGCGUUGUUCGGAUUCAUUGGGCGUAAAGGGUGCGUAGGCGGCGCGGUAAGUCGGGUGUGAAAUCUCGGAGCUUAACUCCGAAACUGCAUUCGAUACUGCCGUGCUUGAGGACUGGAGAGGAGACUGGAAUUUACGGUGUAGCGGUGAAAUGCGUAGAUAUCGUAAGGAAGACCAGUGGCGAAGGCGGGUCUCUGGGCAGUUCCUGACGCUGAGGCACGAAGGCCAGGGGAGCAAACGGG